rnacentral:rRNA from 1 species
UACGGGGGGAGCAAGCGUUGUUCGGAUUUACUGGGCGUAAAGGGCGCGUAGGCGGCGCAACAAGUCACUUGUGAAAUCUCCGGGCUUAACCCGGAGCGGCCAAGUGAUACUGUCGUGCUAGAGUGCGGAAGGGGCUACUGGAAUUCUCGGUGUAGCGGUGAAAUGCGUAGAUAUCGAGAGGAACACCUGCGGCGAAGGCGGCCCCCUGGUUGGAUACGUGACGCUGAGACGCGAAAGCGUGGGGAGCAAACAGG